AUUGAACGCUGGCGGCAGGCCUAACACAUGCAAGUCGGGCGAGGGGCGGACGUGUGAGUAAUGUAUGGGGAUCUGCCUGAUGGAGGGGGAAAACUACUGGAAACGGUAGCAAAUACCGAUUACCAUCAGAUGAACCCAUAGGGGAUUAGCUUGUAGGUAAGGUAACGGGUUACCUGGGCGACGAUCCCUGGCUGGGCUGAGAGGAUGAUCAGCAAAACUGGCACUGAUACAAGUGCCAGACGCCUACGACAGGCAGCAGUGGGGAAUAUUGCACAGUUGGCGCAAGCCUGAUGCAGCCAUGCCGCGUGUAUGAAGAAGGCCUUCGGGUUGUAAAGUUCUUUAACUCGUGAGGCGUUACCGACAGAAGAAGCACCGGCUAACUCCGUGCCAGCAGCCGCGGUAAUUC
rnacentral:rRNA from 1 species